UUUGCUCAAGUUGAGGAGAAGGCAAUUUUUGUGCAGCCUCCAGUUGUAGCUGAAACCAGCGAGGCUGCUGCUGUAAUCCCCAAGGCCAAGGAAGGCCCGAACCGGUGCGCAACCUGUAGGAAGCGGGUUGGCCUGACGGGAUUCAACUGCCGAUGCGGUAACAUGUACUGUGCGGUGCACCGCUAUUCCGACAAACAUGACUGCCACUUUGACUAUCGGACUGCAGCUAGGGAUGCGAUUGCCAAGGCCAAUCCUGUGGUGAAGGCGGAGAAGCUCGACAAGAUCUGAGGGGUAAUGGGGAGCGGAAUUGGUUAUGAUCUGCAAGAUUCAGUCAUGCAUCUUUGCUGCUUUAUCAUUGAACUUCCCAUUCUUGUUUGCUGCCACAUCCCCGAGUUGUUCAACACUGAUGCACAUGCAUCCUGGCAGCUGCAAGAAUUCAUCCCCAGUCGAGUCCAAAAUGGUUUGCGUGUUGGCUAUGUUGUGUAAGCUUAUUCAGUUAUUCAUGGUGGUUUGGUUGGUAUUGUGGCAUUCCCAUUUAGGUAGCUCUGUAAUGUACUACUGUCUCGUGCGUGUUACAUCCCAAUCAGUAAUAGUAAUCAGCAAUGGUCUGCCAUAUUUCCUCGCAAUUUUCUGGUUCUCUUCUUUUCAUGUGCGCUUGUGAAUUUCAUUCAGAGCAAUGGGGGCAAUUGCUCAGAUGUUUGAUAUUAUCUGAAGUUUUGAUGUGUGGAGCUAUUGACCAAUCAACUGUUCUUGCUUCGUGCUCUCUGAAGUGGAAGCAAUCAGCUUCCGCUGCUUGCAUGAAGUGGGAUUGUUGUGGAUGAACACUGCAUUUUAAAAUCAUGUAGCAGCCGAGAGAGCUGUGGAUGGAGCUUUAUUGUUGGGUAUGCUGAUUCUUUAUUACAACACAGUCUAUGCAAACGCAAUUACUUGGUGCAAACACAGUCAAUUCAUCAUGAUCUAUUUUGGAAAAUCCUGUAAACAAAGGAACUUGCUUGCAUGGUUUCCACAAUUCUUAUCCUUCUCUCUUUCUAGUCUGUGCAAGUGGGGACAUGCAGCUCUCCUUUUUACAUGUGAUUGGUACGAAGCCUAAUUUGUUUUUGUAUGAUUGUCACCUGCAAAGAAUUGGAACAAGUCUAAACAACUUGUUUUUGUAUGAUUCACUUGCAAAGAAGAUAAUUCGUACGAAAAAAAUAUUCUUCUGCAUGGGGGGAAUAUUUUUGCUCCUCAAUUUGUGGGUGGGUCUCUUCAGACAUCAUGGGAACAUUGAGCAACUCUUGUGCCGGGUGUUGAGCUGCGAUGGAUUAAAGAACGCAAGCAAUGAUAUAGGUUCUGUUUGGAUCCACUAGCUAUAUUUGAGCUGGUUAAAUUUAACUGCUAUGGAUGCAAAUAUGAUCUAACUAGUUUAAUUUUUUGUAGUUGGUUGAACCCAGCUAAACCAGUAAAAGAUGAAAUUGCCUCUCAACCUUCCCCGAGAAAAGUUUUUAAAGUGGGAGGGAGGGAUACUAUAGACGAAUACCUCUUCUAUAUAGACGAAUACCUCUUCUAGCUAGUGGAUCCAAACACCUUUAACUAAAGUAGCUAAAAGAAAGUUUCUAGAGUUUAGUUAGGUGGAUCCUAACAGGGCUAGGACCAUAGAAGCCUGAUCGCCUUGAGAUUCCUUGUUUGUUUAUGGGAGAAUGGAUAGGAUCUCAGCUUUGUCGUCCUCCCAUCCCAGUAGCUGGAGAUGUAUUUUAUGGCACUAGCUGUUGCUACCUGCUCUGAUCAGUUUACUAUAAAACUGCCAUUAUAUUGUAGAGUAUGUAACAGCCUGAAGAAAACAUUUGCAGAGCUCAGCAGCAACCAUGGGGAUUACCUAGUUGCAAAUAAGACACCCAAUGGCACUUCUUUUUUACCCAGCCAGAACUGAGCAACCCGGAUUCAGGGCAAAGAGCAGAUCACUUCAGGACGAAACAUUUAGCAACACCUUCAGUUACCGAGAUACAUAAGGUGAACAAACUCAUCAGCGGUGUCUUCAGCUGCGAAAAAUUCACAUAAUCUCAAGUAACUUUCUCACUCAAGAAAGGACCGAAGAAGCGCUGUGUGGAUUGCUCGGUAUUGCAGUAAGUGAAUGUAUAUGAGAGGGAUACACAUGAAACAGCUCAUUUCCUCUUUAAUUGUCUGUUCUAAACUACAGUGUAUGAGAAGAAAGAGGCCGUGCAUUAUUCUGUAUUUUUUCUACUCCAAGUGUAAAUUUGGGGACUCAGCCCCCAAUGUUGAAGUAAACCGUAUAGAAUUCGUCCCUCAAGCUGUACAGUGGCUCCAGGAUGAAGUUCCUCCUCACUCCCUUUGCGAUAAAGCUGAUUGGAUGGUACUGCCUCAGUGGGGCAGUCUGCACAAAGCUCGCCGCCUGCUCGAGUAUCCCACCAAUGCUCUGAAGAGAGCUCUUGCAGCUGACCUGAAUCUUAGUCUCUGCAGAGUAAUCCACGCCUGUCACCAAGAAGCACCCUGGUUUGGUCCCGAGCUCGAGGGAAACUGAAUUAGGAUUUCCAUCGAGCCCGGGUAUUAUGUUGAAGAGGGAAUCUGAACCCUUCUGCGCGGAUAGGGUGAGGUUGUUGGUGAUCACAGUUCCUGGCAAGUCAAAUGGCUCGAUCAGCACGGAAGCUCCCUUCAUGGUUGUGCUGUAUGUGUCAUGCAGCUCCGUUGAGUCCUGAGGGUGUGCCCUGAAUGUUGCGUGGAUGGCGAUGUCGGUGCCGUCAACUUCAGGUCGCUCUUGCAUUGUUAGGGAGCCAUUUGCGCUUGAGAGGACAAAUGUUUUUCCAUUGGAUACUUGUGUGAAGGUUGCCAGCUGUGAGUUGUACACUGAAGGAACAGUGGUGAUCCAAUCUGAAAUUGUACUGCUAUUGCCAACUUUUGCAUCCCAGUCACCAGUGGAUAGGCCAGCAAGAACAAAUGGCCCAAAUAGGAUGGCUUGAAGGGAUGCAUACUCCGGCCUGUCAUCUGAACAGAUAGCUAGCAAUUAAUAUUGGAUCAAGUUCCUCAAAAAUAUUUGGAUCAAGAUUCUCUCUGUACAAAAAUCUGAAUAUUAUCACACAUCGUAGCAAAAUCCGUUAUUUCUACUAGCGCCCCUAUGUUUUUGUAGUAUAAGUGUACAACCACUGGUUAUCAUGGUGGUAUAUCAGUGUGCGAGCCAAGUAAAGUCAGCCAAUUUGUUCUUCAAUCUUAAAUUAGUCAACAGUGGAAGUAUCAUGAGUUACCUUUAAUUGCUUCAGUUCUUAACCUGAUGGGAAAGCGUAGUGAUAAGUGAUCCUCUGAGUUCCAUUGUUUGGUGACUGAGAGGAAAGAUCCUGCCCAUAAAAUAACAUAAGGUAAUGAACUGGGCUUCAAAAAUCGAUGAUAAUUUGAAUAUUGAACAGAAUGGAAUGAUUUUACCUGGAGAUAAUGACCCCAAAUCUUUGCCAUUUAGAUUUGCUCCUGCACCAUCAGCAAAUGUCCAUGAUGGAAUUCUAACAUUCAAUUUGGCAGACUGACUUGUCGUCUGAACAAAUAGCAAACAAAUGAGCUGAGUGAAGAUGUUUUUUAUCUGAAUUCAACGUAUAAAGAAUUGAAAAUAAUUACCUCUGCAGAAAUGGAGAGUGAAAUUUGAAGAUACAGGUCAGAAGAACUGAGGGUUUUGAUUUGCUGAGUAACAGUGAGCCCAGCUGCUUUCCAGUUGAAAGUGCUUGGUAUGUACUGAAUGAUGUUGAGUGCAGGUGUAUCUUCUUUCUCCUCAAAGUAAAUAGAAUCGCCAAGUUUUGAAAAGGAUUCUAUACCUGCACAUGGAAAUCAUUAUAUUUUGAAAUAAACAACUUGCUCGAGAAUAAAUGCGACCCCAACGUUCACAGCUUGAGGCAAUAAAGCAGAAAGGUUAAAAAUGAAGGGGCUAGACACUGCCUUUAGCUUAUGGAAUCAAAAUUGGAUAGAAACAGUUGGUUGAAAUCAAGCAGAAUAUUCACAUCAAGGCAAUAAAUAGAUGUUGCAAUUUUUGUAUUACCUGUCCCAUAACAACACCAGAAAGAAUCGUACUUUGUUCCCCAACCAUGAUAACUCACAGCCUUAGAGUGUCCAGGGGCCUGGGGUAGCAUGUAAAUCAUCACACCAGGAUCUGUCCCCCUUUGAAUGCUUAAAACACCAUUUAUCAGUGCUCUUUCAUAGUAAUCUGCAUAUGAUAUUUCCUUUGUCCAUCGGAAUAGGUUGCGAGAUAUCUGGAUAUGACACAGGUUUACAUAUGACACAUUUCUAAACAAGAAAACAAUUUUUUAGUAUGGUUUCACAACCUUAAGCAUGUUGUAAGUGGUGCAAGAUUCCUCAUUCUCAGUACUCAGAGUCUCAGCUAAAUGUUUUGGGUCAGUCCUGAAAAACAAUUAAGAGAAUCAGUUCCUUGCCAAAUAUAACUUUCGAUAUACUAUGGAAGUAUUGAUGCCAUUAAUCAAGCAUCUACAAGCUAUAUUACCAGAAUUCACCAGCAGAUGUGCCACCAGUCGCGUAGCUAUGAGAUGAAUUUAUUGUAUCCAUAAAGAAUGUGGCAAUUUGCUGUUUCAAAAAUGAGGCUUAUGGUCAACUUCACUCAAAUGGUGGAGAACAAAUGAUAAAAAGAAGACAGAAGAUGGUACUACUUCAGACACAGAGACGCAGAUACUCAUAGGCAAAAGGCUAAAAUGGAUGUAAAGGAAAGAAACAUAUAAAUCCAAAGAGCUGUGCUAAACACGCAUAAUGUCAGCAUAUUUCAAAAAAUUGAAAACAGUUUAUCUUAAUCCAUUCGGAAUUUUAGUAAUAACAGCAAGAGUCAUACAUAUCUUAAUUUUUAUUAACCCAUUUUUCCUCUUCUGAACAGUAGUCAGUGUCUUUAUGUAAACUGAUAACAGCAUGCACUUUAUGUCCGCAUCCCCUAACAGAUUCCUCACUGUCUAUGAAAAUGGAAUACUUCAACUCUGUAGUAAUAAAUUUCGCAGUGAACUUUACCUUGUAAAGAGGAUCUCCGGUAACUUCAUACCUCAUCUGUGCACCAAUGACAACUGGAAUGUGUGUAUUGGAAUGGAAGCCUGAAAUGCUGUCAGCCUGAAAUGAAACAAAUACACAAACAACGCUAUCACUAAACGAAAAAUCCCUCGAGAGGAACAGUAAUUCUAGUCCAUCGAUUGAGUCCUGUACUAGGAACCCAAGUUCAAUUUCCAUGAAAGUGUACACUUUACAUGGUAAUACCAGUUCAGUAGUGGCAUAAUUAAAAUCUGUUCGAUAUAUAGACAUGUAGUGACCACUGGAUGAUAAGCAAAUUGAACUGAAGUUAGUAAUCACAAUUCUUAACAUAGUUAAAACUGAAACUGGUUAAGUUCUAUUUCAGUCAUUUAUUGUAAUGUAAACAUAAUCCUAGCUAUCACCAAAUAGCUGAAGAUUCACAACUAGCAAACCAAAUCAGUGUUUCAGCACACCUGAACUGCAAGCAGCCCAAGAAAGCAUGGCUUAUCGAAGAGAUGGGCCAGUGUCAAAUGCUUCAGAUCAUUCUGCCCAAUUAAGAGAAAGUCAGCAUAUCAGCUAGAUAUAACUGUAUUAAUCGAUGCUACACUUGUAACAAACGGCAAAUCACCGUUAUUGUGUAGAGCUGAUAGAGCACAUCAUUCAUCCCACCAGUUUCCUCAUUGAGAGACUCCCAGUGCCUCUCAAUGCUGUAUUUCUGUAUGACAUUCUUCACCCGAUCACUGAAAUAAUUAGCCAUCUUUACCACCAUGUCAAGAGCCUUGGAAUUCCCAGCCACCGUGUACUGAUCAAGAAGGCCUUGCAUAAUCUGUAAACCAAAAAUUAGACCCACUCAAAUUGGUGAUGAUCAUUCAUUCAUUGCACAAUCUGUAAACCAAAAAUUACACCCACUCAAAUUGGUGGUGAUCAUUCAUUCAUUCACAUAUUUAUCAUGAAGUAGAAACUGAAAACCCCCAUGAACCUUGUGGAUUGUGUAGUAAGGGGCCCAGACAGGCCUGAUGGCCUCAACCCAAUCGAAGAAUUCCGACGGGAAGGCCGACAGGUACCCUGUGCCCAUCUUCUUCUGACAAUCAUAGAGCGCGUCGACGACAGACGACAUUUUCACAUUAAGAGUAUCAUUGUGUGUGCUAGCCCACAUCUUUGCAGUAGCACUCAGGUAAUGCCCUGAAAAGAACAACGGCAGGACGCUGAAAUUCAGCCUAGCUGCGAAAUUGUAGUGGGUAAAUGCUACAGAAUCGAAAUCAAACUGAGAUGCGGUGGCGCACCAACAAAGUGACCCCGGAGCUGGACGUUAGGGCCCUCCCACCCGCCAUAGGGCGUUCCCGGCGCCGUCAGGCCGGCUUGCUUGCGGAAGCUCCAGACGAGGCGGUCGACGUCCAGGAGGAGCAGGUACUCCAGAUUGGUCUGCUGUGCUUGCCAGUACGGGCUGCCCGGCUCAAGCCGCACGUCGUGCAGGGAGGCCUCGGAGAGGAACGCCCCGGCCGCAACCCCGGGCCGCGGCGCGCCGGCGGUGGCGCCCCGGAGCUUGCGGUAGAGCAUGAGCCAGUCGAACGCCUCCUCGCGCCGCAGAGCCCGCCGUGGCAUGAGCGACAUCCAGGCGGACUCGUCGGUGGGGGUGAGGUGCUGCUCGUGGCCAUGCUCAUGGGUGUGGCGACCGUGGUGGCUGCGCUCGGGCACCGGCGCCCGCGGCGCGGACCGCAGCUGCGUCGCCGCGCGCUCCGUGUGCGACGUCAGCCCCGGGAACGCGUUGGUGCACGACUUACCCUCCGCGCCGUGCCAGCCGGCUGCGGCGGCUAAGAUCACCACGGCCCCCAGCGCCGCCGCCGCCGGCAUGCCCGGCCCUCUCGCCAUAACCAACCCCCCUUUCUUGGCAAGAACCACUCGUUACCCUGUCCUCAGUUGACCGACACACACCGCAUAAGCGAAAGCCUCCAAAAACCCAAACCUGUAACCUGUGAGAAGGGCGAGGAGGAUAAGAUUAAGCAUCACGAAAUGGUGACAGCGCAUCAAACUACCAGUGAUUCAACCAAGAAUUGCGCGGAAAGCAAUUCAUACGAGGGGAACAAAGAUCGGAGGGAGGAUUGAAGAAGACGACCUCGACUCACUUCACUGGAGUGAGACUGUGACAGUGAUGUUUACUGUUUCCGUCUCGAGAGGAAGGAGGAGAAAUUGCUCCUUUUUCGCCGGGGACGGAUCAACGGAAUAGGGGUGGGCGACAAAUGCGCAUCGGGAGAGCGACGGUUUAUAUCAGAGGAUUCUUGGACCCCAAGAGCCGCAAGGCGACGCCAUCAUCACCCAUCCAUCAUCUACCGGUUCGUCCCAAUCCACCAUGGCCGUCGCCCGCCGCUUGCUUGCACGCCACCGCCGGCCCGCCGCACGGCAGCAAGUGGCGCAUCGGCAUCACGUCGGAGAGGUAAAAGCUUCUCUGCCCUUUUCAGACCCAAGGGCAGAGACGGCAACUUGGCAGCGGAGCUCGCAACCGAAACCGGAGAGCGGAUGCGUCAGGGUAAAACCUACCCUGUUGGUGGAUGGAUCACCGGAUUGAGCUGAACUUGCAACUGAACACUCUCGGAGAUUCCCUGAUCUUGUCAUGCUUCUGCCGUUUGCAGGACACGGCAUUGCAUGGCAUCUAACCGAUCCUGUGUUCCGGCUCAGCCUCAUCUGUUCGAUGUGCAGAGGCCGAUGCAGCAGACCCCAGAGGCGUGCUGCGUGCAUAUCCAUCGAUUGAUAGAUCCAUUUCCUUCUGACAAUAGAAUCAUCGUGCGCAUAGACCACACCUGCAUGCCAAGACAAUGUCACAUGGAUGAAUAGGAUGCGAAGUGAUCGAUUGUUGUGUCAGUUUCAGAAGGCCGAGUGGCAGCAUGUUGUCGGUCAUGUUCUAUACUACCUCUGAUGGGCCUUGAGGCGAGAGCAAUAUCUCCGCCCUCCCAAGAACAGAGGAUGCCCAAGCUCUUCUGAAUACCACCAAACAAGCUCCCUUAGGAUCCAUGCUGAAAUCGCACAAGAUAUACCAAACAAAAUGUGUUCAAGCUCUUCUUAAAACAUAAAAUGAAAAUCAAAAGAUUUUUGGGCGAGAAUGGGAACAACGGUAAUCAUCCUUGAAGUCGACCCAAACUUUUGACUAGUUUCCAACCCCAAUCAUUGCCGAUCCAGGCCCAAAUCUAGCCCACCUCAGGCACCCGCAAUGGUUAAAGAGGGUUUGCUCUCUGUUACUUGUCUACCAGCCCUGUUUGGAUAUCAUAUGCUAAAUUUUAGUACAGUGUUAAAUUUUAGCACCCUCAAAUAAAAGGUUAAAGUUUAGCACCUUGGGGUGUUUGGAAAGGAGGCUAAACUUUAACACCUGGGUUGACAAAAGACUCAUUUAUCCCCACUUUCUUCCUUUCUUUAUCCUCUCUCUCCUCCUCUUCUCUCGCUCUUCUCCCCACCUUCCCCAGCCGCACCGGCCUCCGUGCCCCUAGCUGCCCUCCCUCCCCCGCUGGGAGGUGGCGGCCGCGCGGCCAAGCUCCUCUCCCUCCCUGCGCCAGCAAAAUCACCUCCGGGCGUCGCUCCUCACCCUCCUCCCCCGGGUCAGAGCCACCGCCGCGCGGCAAGGACUCCUCCUCCACCGGUCCCGCCCCGCUCCCGACGGCAGAGAGGUGCUCCCUCGUCGCGCAGCGCCGACUCCCUCGUCGCGCGCCUUGCUGACGGGGAGGACGGGCCGGCCGUGGCCCUGCACCGAGAGAGGGGGGUGCGGAGGCGGCAUGGCCGGCGGAGGCAGCGGGGGCGGCGGAGGCGGCGUGGCCGGGUGGAGGAGGCGUCGCCGGCAAAUGCGGUGGGGCCGGGCGGAGGAGGCGUGGCCGGCGGAGGUAGCGAGGCCGGCGGAGGAGGCUUGGCCGGCCGAAGGAGGAGAGAGAGGGGGGUGGGGGGCAACCAGGGAAAUUUUAGAUAGGGGACCACUUUUAGCACCUAUUUGAUGUGCUAAAAAAAGUGGGGUGCUAAACUUUAGAACACCACUUUUAGCACACCUGUUUGGGAGCUCUAGUGCUAAAAGGGUGCUAAAAGUGAGGUGCUAAAGUUUAGCACCCCUCUUCCAAACAGGGCCAUAAUAUUUAUAGAUCCAUCACUUAGCGGAUUAUCUGUAGUAUUUAUUGCUAAGUUUCGUGGGUCGUAUAGUAUUUUUUUAGUCCUCCUACUCUUCUCUCUCUCCUCCUUCCCCAUCCCCCACACCGACAACUGCUUUUCCGGCUGACCUUGUGAUGAGAACAUUACCUGCUCGGAUACAACCAUAUUAGCAACUUUUGAUUCACAGGUAAAAUAAUUCUUUGAAAAUUCAUUUGAUGAAUUGAUGCUACACCAUGAUGUGUGUUUAUUGUCAUUUGAUACGUACGUGGAUCAAAACGAGUGUUAAACACACAUCGAAGGCAUGGAGGACCAAAGAAGUUGAUUAGAUUCCAAGUCCAAGUAUUCCCAACGUCCUCCACUAGGCCACCACGUCACUUUUCGCCCAAGAAAAGAAAGAGAUCAAAUUCAACACGUUUUGGGGCUGAAUUCAGACUACAAGCACUGCGCCAAAUUGCAACGGCCGACACGACCUCAUCCAAGCUCCGUUUUGGGCGUUCAAGUACUCCUUGGAAUUCUUAUGAAGUCUAUUUUCAUAUGGAUCUAGACUCAUGUUUAUAUAUUUUCUGAGGCGGUCGCAAUGAUCAAAUUACUACCGAGAGAUUUUUCUGUCAAAGGUGCUGCGUUGCCUUAUUUUGGUCCAAUGGGCCUUGUAUCAAUUCGGGUCCAAUAAGGACGUGUCCUAGGGUUGGAGCACGACAACAGGACCCCUAUGGUCGUCCUCCUAGGUAUAAAUAAGGUUUAGAGCCACCACAAACAGAUUGAGUUUUGUUUAGAUGUAAGUUUAGCCAUUGCUACUUCCUUGUAGACGCGUGUGUCGACUAGACCAUCCGUUCUACUUGAUUCAGAAUCCCAAAUUUGUAAUUUUAGAUUGGUUUUCAUCUCCAUAUUUGCAAUUGAGUUGCUUGUUCUACUUAUUCUUACUUAUUCCUCGAUUGCUUGCAGGAAUUACCCUAGUGGUUUGAUUGAUCGUGCUCCACGAGAUCGCGGCGACCAUUGAAGAUGGUGUAUCGGUUGCUAAGACGCAGCAUCCUUGGAUGGUUGUAGUCGGGGCUGUGAACGUCACCGCGCGCUCGAGCCGGCGGAGUGGCGGAGCCACGAUAGCUCGACGGCCCCAGCUGCGCCCCAUCCACCUCCUGCACGGCGGCAUGACCAUGCUCCGUCACAUCCUGCACCGACCACCACGCAGCCACGCUCCUCCCUGCUUGCGCCACCUCGUGCUGGAGCUACCGUCGCCACACCGGGCGCGCUCCGCCCGCCCCCGCACCGCUGCUGCGGUCUUCUGCCCCUCUGCCGAGCUCCACGCUCGUAGCGUGCCUUGCUUGGUCUCGCUCCACACCGACACCGGGCCCAGCAUAUCCGGCCACCACAUACGCGUACCCAUUGCUAGGCCCCUGACACCCGCACCGCUGUGCUCUUCCUGCUCCCUAGGCCCCACACAUCAGUCUCCGAGCAUCUGCUGCCGAAUCAGAUCUGAGAGCGAGCAGAGGGGAUGCGAGCGGCCGACCGGGGCGGCGGGACAGCGAGCGCAACGAGCUGUUGCAGGCGAGUGGUGAUGUAGAUGGGAUGCAAGGUAAAUCCACCAAUUUGCACAGGUUAGGGUCUGUUUGGGAAGGGGGUGUUAAAGUUUAACACCCCACUUUUAACACUUUUUAACACUUUUUUAUCCAAACACUUGUGUUAAAAGUGAGGUGUUAAAGUUUAACAGCCCAUUUUUCAUAAACACAUGGAUGAGGUGUUAAAACUUGCUAAAGGUGUUAAAAGUGGUCCCCCUCUCUACUUUUUCCCAGGUUACCCCUUCUCUCGCCUCCCUCUCUCUCCGCCGGCCAUAAAUGAGGGGGCAAUGGAGUCAUUUCUCACCAAAGGUGUUAAAGUUUAACACAUCAUCCAAACACCCCAAUGUGUUAAACUUUAGCACUCUAUUUGAGAGUGUUAAAACUUUAACACUUGUUGAAUUUUAACAUAGGGUAUCCAAACAGGCCCUUAAUCUCUGCACCUACCAGAUGCAAAUUUGCCAAAUGUAAUCUCUGCACCUCACGAGCUUGAUUGGGCUGGCUCGAGCCUGGCUCGUGAGCCUAGCUAAGGUCCUGUUUGGCAACACACUCCUAAACUUUAGUACCUGUCACAUCGAAUGUUUGAUACUAAUUAGGAGUAUUAAAUAUAGUCUAAUUAUAAAACUAAUUGCAUAGAUAGAGUCUAAUUCGCGAGACGAAUCUAUUAAGCCUAAUUAGUCCAUGAUUUGAGAAUGUGGUGCUACAGUAACUAUUUGCUAAUGAUGGAUUAAUUAGGCUUAAUAGAUUCAUCUCGUGAAUUAGUAUAGAAUUUCUGUAGUUAGUUUUAUAAUUAGCUCAUAUUUAGUUCUCCUAAUUAGCGUCCGAACAUCCGAUAUGACACUCCUAGUUUAGGAACACCCCGUGAGGCAGACCAGGCUGCCAAACGCCCCCAAAGCGAAGCCACGGCCCACGGCCCCGUCGGCCGUCCGCCACCGUUUUUUUUCCCUCUUCUUCUUCGGUGCAACUCCUACCAGACCGUGCAGCCCCACGCGAUCCAGCUACCACCCGUGGCCGCGCUCGCCGCCUUCCUCGCGCCGCCGCGGAUCCACAAAGGUAUUCUUGGCGUGGUGCUUUCGCUCGUGUCGCGCGCCCCUGGUCCUGUCGCGGCACCCGGCGUGGAUCUUGGCCUGGAUUGUCCCGAUACUCCGCAGCAAAAGCAAGGGUUCCGAGGUGGUUUCGCGGUUUCCUGGCGUCUCCUCUUGCUCGCCGGUUCGUCCCAAGGUGCGGCCUUCUGAAUUCCUCGUACUUCCAAAAUCGAUGUGAUAUGUUCUGUGCGCGCUGGGAGGAGUGCAUCUGAGCACCUGCAUUGCAUCUUCAGGACGCUUGUUAGUGAGCUUAAUUGGAUUUGUUCUAGAUCUACCGCAAUUAUAUGCGUUCAUCCGUGGAAAAAAAUGUUGUUUUCGUUUCCCUGGAUGUCUAGCCUGUGGCUGCUAUACUUGUAUGCGAUGAAAUGAUGCUACAUUAUCCUGAAUUGCUGGCAGGGCACGUGUUAAUUUUUUGUUGCAGGCAUAUCUUGGUGCCCGUGAUUUAAGUGGUACAAUUAAGGCCAGAAGAAUCAGCUUUAUUCAACCAGUGUUUGGAUAUGGUAUCAGCUAACCUUGGGUUGGCACAUUAUGUACUGGAACUCUUCUUCAUCGCACCAAGUUAGGAACACCAUUUUUCUCAAAAGGAUGGGGAGGUACCAAACUUGAUUUGCUAGAGAGCAUGGUGAAGCAGCUGUUCCCUGAAGCACAUUGCCAAAACUGGCCACCAACUGCUGUGCAGCCAAUGUGGAAAACAAUUUGGGAGACAAACAGUUCUUGUCUGCGAGAGGGUGUUUUCAGGACUAAAUGUGAUGAGAGACUAGUCGAUGCAUUGCCCCCUGAAAAUCACAAUGCAGGAGUUGCUUUUCUUACUCCUAAAAACAUUACACCAGAGAAGAUGUCAUGCAUGGUCCAUCUUGCAGGUACAUGAUUUUGUGGUUUCAUUAUAUUUGUUCCCUAAUGCACUGCAUAGAUUAGGAAAACCAUUUUCUGAUAUGAAUGUUUAGCUUGUAUGCAUUUUAAUCAGUUUCUGUUGUCUGGUAGAACGGAUUAUGAACGUAUUAGUCUGCUGGCUUUCUAGCGCUGCCAAGUUUAACAUUCCUCUUUUGACAGCUUCCCUAUCUUUUUUUGAAGAUAAAAAACUUUCCUCACUGCCAAGUGCUAAAAUUGAAUAAGGACUAGUCUCCUUUUACUGUUAGUUUCAUAUUGAUUGAUGAAUAUUGUCACAAAAUUGUUCAUAGUAAAAAAAAACUGCUCCACUCUUUUUCCUAUAAAAAUAUGUCUCCGCUCUCAUCUAAUGAAUCUAAAUUUUCUGUAAUAAUAUAGGCACUGGUGAUCACACAUUUGAACGCAGGCUUUGGCUCGGUGGGCCUCUUUUGAAGAACAAUAUUGCAAAUAUGGUUCUUGAGAGGUGAGAGUUACUUGCAUUCUUUGUUAAAAUAUUUUCUCCACAAUUCACCAAGAUCUGAUCCAUUGAACCACAGCCCCUAUUAUGGACAGUGACGUCCUAGCAUGCAGGGUGGUGCAAAGCUUCAGUGUGUGAGUGGCUUGUUACUUUUAGGGAAAGCCACAAUUGAUGAAGCUCGCAGUCUCCUGUACUCGCUGCAGGCUGAGGCUGGUUACGGCAAGAUGGGCAUAUGUGGGCUCAGCAUUGGUAUGUUAACACUGGUUUUGCUCAUGAAUGAAUAUAGCUAGUCUUAAAAAUAAUGUAGCAGCCUAUUUGUCAAACCCAUCUGAUUCUUAUAAUUUUCUGGUUAUAUUUACAAGGUUCCUUUGACAUUCUUCUCAAAAAAUAAUUCUUUGCUGAUGACACAGGUGGUGUCCAUGCCGUGCGUGAUGGGGGGAUCCCUUCAUCCUACACCAAUUGCUACACCGCCAUUUCUCACUUCGCACUCUGCCGUGGUACCUUUCUGUGAACGGGUCUACAAAUAUGCCACAGCUUGAGAUGUGUUGAGAGAAGAUGCAGCAGCAUUAACUCAAGAUGUAACAUCUUUGACAGAAGAUGCAGCACAGAAAACUGGGGUCACUAUUGAGGAAGUCAUAGAUAGGUUGCGGUCAGUGUUGUCUUUGACUGAGGUCACUCGAUUUCCAGUCCCAAAGAACCCGCAGACUGUCAUCUUUGUUGGUGCAACGGUUAGUGUUUUUUUUUAACCUUUUAACAUCAAUUUAUAAUCUCUGAAAACAUGAUCUCCCCCUCCUCCCCCCCCCCACCCCCCAAGCUUUUACUUUGUUUUACCAAUCUUAUAAGUUAAACACCAUUAGAAGAUUUUCCUUGUAGACUGGGUUUUUUUCCACUAUUUCAAUAAGACUUCCAAAUUUAGUCAAAUUGUAUCUUUCACCUGCACUGUUUACAACAAGUUCUUUUUGAGACCACACUGUUUGCAGCAAGUUACCGUAGCACUCCAGCAAUGUUCAGAAUUGAACUUACAUUGAUAGCAGAUAGUUUACUCAAGCACUCUUAUCUUCUCAUGUUCAGCAAUGUCUCCUUAUUUCAGACAGAGAUUGCUUACUCGAGUAUUCGUUUUCAGCUGGAGCUUUCUUCUAAUCUGAAGCUAUGUUCCCUUUACAGGAUGAUGGUUAUAUUCCCAUAAUCCCAUACAUUCAGUCAUGAAGCUCCAGAAGGCAUGGCUGGGCUCAGAAGUCCGGUGGGUAACGGGAGGCCAUGUUUCGUCCUUUUUCCUCCACAAUGACGCAUUCCGCAAAGCCAUCGUCGUCGCCCUUGACAGAUUGUAACGUCUAACAAGCUCGAGCCAACAAAAGACCCAUCUUUUUUUUUUUCAACUCGACCUAACCAUUGAUCAGGUCUAUUAUCACCCUAACAAAAUUCUUGCAAUAUUAUCACCCUAUCAAAAUUCUUGCAAAAUCAAACAACACACACCCUAACUUGUACGAGAACCGGUCAAUUUCUUAGGUGAUUUAACACACUUGGUUAUACUGCAUGCCCACUUAAGAUCAAACUUAGGUCUUACAUCAUGUAUUUCUUAUUAAUACGUUUGUUUUGUUGACUAAUAGGCGAUGCGUUUGUUGAAUCUGCGCAUUUGCAGUGGCUUCGUUAAUCUCAAGAUACGUUUGCUCUUAUGCAUUUACAGGAUGUCAAGGCAUCCUCAGGGCUCGUAGAGUGGAGGAAAAAAAACCGCUUAAGAAAAGUUUCCAUGUUUCACAUGAAAAAUUUAUGAGCUUUAGGUGCAGAUGCCAAAUAGCAAGAAAUGAAAAAUAAAAGAAUUAGAUGAAACAUAUCGUAACCUAGAAACAAUGUCGUAACUCGAUAUCUCGAGCUUAUCGAUCUUUCUCUAAAUAAACUAGCUCUAACACCACUAGUCGAAUCCAGAUCAUACCAGUAUCUUACACAAGUAACUUCAUUUUCUAUGCACCUUUGCAUGGACGCAUGCUCCCACGCGGUGAUGCCGCCAUUACCUAACGUUUAAACUCCCUUUCAAAAGGGCAAAAAAUCGUGGCCUACGCAUGGGGCGGGCAGAGAACCGUGCUGCAACCGGCUGCCUACCAUCACCAUCUGCUUCUCUUUCCUCUCUCUUUCACAAGGCAAUACGUGCUGAGGCAUUAUCUCUCCGCUUUUGCGUAGGAACCCUUUUGAUCUUGAGAAAUUGCCUAAUUGUUCACAUUCCAUUCCAAGACGACUUCAAGGUGGUAAAGUGGCAGCAUGAUCUUAAAGCUCAUAACUGAGACGAUAAAUUUUUUAAGAUAAUCUACACAAUAUAAGAUUAUACGGUACAAAUACUACCAAAUACUAGCUCUUUAGAAGGUUUUUAUUACUUCAUGUAUCAAGUAUCAUGUAUCAAAGGUAGAUUGCUGACCGCGAAUACCACGCGGUAAGGUUUUUAUUACUUCGAUGUUCUCUUGAAGGAACUAACUUAUUUAUGGUUGAUGUGCAGGCUCGCUCUACAAUAACGUUACAAUCCAGUGCCAUUUGCGUUUUACACGCAUCAUAAUGUAUCUUUUGAUAUGCAAGAACUUAAAGGAUAAUUGCAAUAAACAUUCUAUUAAGUGAAAAACACCAAUUUUUUUAAAAGAAAAUGAAUAACUAUCAUGUAAUAUAUAUUUGAGGGGAAAAAAUUGUAGUUAUAACAUUCUAAAAGUUGAUGCACUUAUUACUGUUGUGUUUGCAUAUGUUAUCACAGCUAUGAUAGCUAGAUUCAAAACGAUACUCCCUCCAUCCUAAAUUGUAGAUCAUUGCUAUGCACUUAGGUAUGGUACAUAUUUAGAUAUACAACAAAAAUUAUGUACUUAAAAAAACUAAAAUGACCUACAAGAAAGAAAACGGGAGACUAACAUAAGAGCAUCUCCAGCAGACCCCCAAUAAAUAUUUUCCAAUGCCUAGUUAACAAGGAUAUCCUAAAAUCAUUUUCAUCGUUAUUGGGAGAAUUGUUUUUGCUGUCUCCCAAUAAUCUCAUCCCAAUCCAACUACCGUAUUGGAAGAGUCACAACUCCGCUUUUAUUUAGGGAAAGUUAGGGUGAAUUAUUGGAUUGUCCCAAUAAUUAUUCGGAAAAAGGAAAAGUAAAGGGAGACUGCUGGAGCACUAGUUUUUUACUAACACUUCCGGUACGAAAAAGACCGGUAUUGCAUUCUAGCAGCCAUGGUGUACCGACAUGCUAUAAAAAAGUAUUUUUGGCAUAUUGUUACACGGUAGAAGCUUGUGAACCCAUCAAGUCAUGUAGGACAGUUAUUCAAAUUUCUACCGAUGCCAAAUUUUGCCUUAUAAAAAGAUAGAAACCGGCUUUUUAAAAAAAUAUAGAAACCGAUUACUCCAAUAUUCAAAGUUCACACCAUUUAUAGGAGAAGAAAAAGGACGCUACGCGGCUCCUUCUUCCCCAUCAAGAAAGAAAAAGAUCUCCCCCUCCAAAAUUAUAUAAACCCGCAACCAGCAGGGACCUCACUGAAAAUCCACGGCCGCAUCCAUCCCAUCCGUCCAUCAGCUCACGCCACCGCGAUCGGACGGCGCCUCCCCCACCUCAGCCAGACCACUCCACGCCACCAACCGCAAAUAAUUCGAAAUGGUAGGGGCAAGGAGGUAACUUCCCGUCGCCUCCGCCUUUUUUAUCUGGCUCCCCCACCUUCCUUCCCCUGGCCCAACGACGCCCCCAUUUCGGAGCUCCUCGCGAUUCCAAUCCCCGCACGCCUCCUCCGCCUCCGCGGCCGGCUCGCGCAGGGUUAGGGUUUGCUCUGCUCCCCAUCUCGCCCUGUGCUGUUUUUCUUUCCUGUGAGAUUUGGUAGGGAAGGCUUGAUCUGUUUCUUCCGGGGCCUGAUUCGGCGUCCCUUGAUCGUUCUGCGCGUUUUUCUUGUGAUUUUUUGGGGUGUCGAUUCGUUGGUGCGGGGGAUUCCACGGGCCGUGGAAUCGCGAAGGGAACGGGCGCUUCUUGAUUCGGUCUUCGAUUGGUGGUUUCUUCUGUUCAGGUGGAAGUCCUUUUGGGUGGGGAAAUGAAAACGCGUUCUUGUUUUUUUUUCUUAUUAUUUUUUUAAAUAAAAAUUGUAUGAAGGUUGUUUCACUUGGCCAAAUGAUUAGGCUUUACCUGUCUUUUUUUGUCUGAUUUUUUAAAGUUCGUAGCGCUGCUAAAUGUUACUAGUGAUUCAAGUAAUUUUUUCCGUGGAAAUCGUGCGUAUUUAGUUGCAAGCUGUGGAUUAGUUAAAUUACUUGGCAGAUUUGGUUUAUACUGUCCUCGAUUUACAUCACCAUGGUUUUUUUACAGAGAUUUGAAUUGAUAUACCCUAAUUCGUUUAGGAAUACCGUUUUGAUUUGUAUUACACAGCGUGUUUUGUGAUAGUGACUUCCGCGAUGCUCUCCCUAAAUAUUAGGAUCUUGUUUUGUGAUAUUUGCUGAAGUGACAAAUCGUGUGGUUAUUUACAUCGAUUGUUUAAUGUGCAGCUUAUAGUAGUCAUGGAACACAAGGAGGCGGGCUGCCAGCAACCCGAGGGCCCAAUCCUAUGCAUCAACAACUGUGGCUUCUUUGGCAGUGCGGCCACCAUGAACAUGUGCUCCAAGUGCCACAAGGAGAUGAUAAUGAAGCAGGAGCAGGCCCAGCUAGCUGCCUCCUCCAUCGAUAGCAUUGUUAACGGUGGUGAUGGUGGGAAAGGGCCUGUCAUAGCUGCAACCGCCGCGGUGGC
rnacentral:lncRNA from 1 species